rnacentral:piRNA from 1 species
UGGGUGUCUGUGGUUUUAUUCUGACUUUU